GAUGAACGCUGGCGGCGUGCCUAAUACAUGCAAGUCGAGCGAACAGACGAGGAGCUUGCUCCUCUGACGUUAGCGGCGGACGGGUGAGUAACACGUGGAUAACCUACCUAUAAGACUGGGAUAACUUCGGGAAACCGGAGCUAAUACCGGAUAAUAUAUUGAACCGCAUGGUUCAAUAGUGAAAGACGGUUUUGCUGUCACUUAUAGAUGGAUCCGCGCCGCAUUAGCUAGUUGGUAAGGUAACGGCUUACCAAGGCAACGAUGCGUAGCCGACCUGAGAGGGUGAUCGGCCACACUGGAACUGAGCCACGGACCAGACUCCUGCGGGAGGCAGCAGUAGGGAAUCUUCCGCAAUGGGCGAAAGCCUGACGGAGCAACGCCGCGUGAGUGAUGAAGGUCUUCGGAUCGUAAAACUCUGUUAUUAGUGAAGAACAAAUGUGUAAGUAACUAUGCACGUCUUGACGGUACCUAAUCAGAAAGCCCCGGCUAACUACGUG
rnacentral:rRNA from 1 species